rnacentral:misc_RNA from 1 species
UUGCUUACUUUACAUCAAAUAGGUUGGUGAAAUUUUGAUACUUGAAUGCACAUUUCUCUUUUUAUUCACAAACUCCAUUCUCAUGCUGCCAAUAAGCAAGACCGUUCUUUUUCUUCCCUUGUUUUUUUGUAAUAACAUGAGAAGGAUUUGCACCAACUGUUUUUAUCCUUAAACCAAUCAUUAAUUAUUAAUUAGCAUGAGUGUUUUCUGGUUCAUCUGAAAUGCACAUAUAUUUAUUGCCUUGAGAUUGUGGCCUUUGCAUUAUUAUUGCACGGUCUCAAAAAGCUUCAUUCCAAUAGUCACCUUUUAAGCAGAAAAUAUCUCUCUCUCUUUCACCUGGGAUACCAUGUUUUGUGUUAAAAUGUUCAUUGUGCUUAUUGGUUCUUAUUCAUGUUGAUGUGUAAACCGUGGAGCAUCAAUUUCUUUCAUUGUUAUAUAUAGAGUUGUGUGUAUGCACACCUGCUCACGUGCAUGUCCAACUGUUAGUUCAGCUUCUUAAAACUUCUUUGGUUUUAUAACAGCAUAUUUCUAAUACAAUUAUUGAUUUUGUAAUUUUUCGGCAAAUUAUGACUCUUUCUGCUUGGAUUAAUAUAUAUUAGGUCUAGAUGUAGUUCGAACUG